rnacentral:rRNA from 1 species
CUACGUGCCAGCAGCCGCGGUAAUACGUAGGGUGCGAGCGUUAAUCGGAAUUACUGGGCGUAAAGCGAGCGCAGACGGUUACUUAAGCAGGAUGUGAAAUCCCCGGGCUUAACCUGGGAACUGCGUUCUGAACUGGGUAGCUAGAGUAUGUCAGAGGGGGGUAGAAUUCCACGUGUAGCAGUGAAAUGCGUAGAGAUGUGGAGGAAUACCGAUGGCGAAGGCAGCCCCCUGGGAUAAUACUGACGUUCAUGCUCGAAAGCGUGGGUAGCAAACAGGAUUAGAUACCCUGGUAGUCCACGCCCUAAACGAUGUCGAUUAGCUGUUGGGCAGCUUGAUUGCUUAGUAGCGUAGCUAACGCGUGAAAUUGACCGCCUGGGGAGUACGGUCGCAAGAUUAAAACUCAAAGGAAUUGACGGGGACCCGCACAAGCGGUGGAUGAUGUGGAUUAAUUCGAUGCAACGCGAAGAACCUUACCUGGUCUUGACAU